rnacentral:rRNA from 1 species
UACGGAAGGGGCUAGCGUUGUUCGGAAUUACUGGGCGUAAAGCGCGCGUAGGCGGCCAUGCAAGUGAGGCGUGAAAGGCCUGGGCUCAACCUGGGAACUGCGCUUCAGACUGCACGGCUUGAGUCCGGGAGAGGGUGGUGGAAUUCCCAGUGUAGAGGUGAAAUUCGUAGAUAUUGGGAGGAACACCAGUGGCGAAGGCGGCCACCUGGCCCGGUACUGACGCUCAAGUGCGAAAGCGUGGGGAGCAAACAGG